UCUCUGUGUACCUGAGGCCUUUUGAAGCUGCAAAGCAACGAACACACCAGAAGCAAACCAACCUCUCACAAAUUAUUCCCCAGCUGUGACUGAUUCCAGCAAAACACCUUGUGUCUGAUCUACAAAGCCCGAGCUGAUCUGCACGUCCAACCAAAGCGGGUCCUUCCUCAUCACAUGCUUGUGCUGCCAGAGCAGGGGAUGUGGAUAAUACUUUAGAGCUGCUACAAACGCUUCGGAAAAGACUCUGCCGUGGUAGCAAACAGCUGGUGUAGCUAAUCCACUUUCCAAGCACAUUUGCAAGAUACAUAAUUAAGAGUUCUGUUGAGGGGCGAAGCGAAGCAAGCCAUUAGAUUUGUUUAUAAUAUUCUGGGUAGUGUAAUACUCACGCAGGAUAUCCCUUUCCUGCAAAAGACAUUAAGAUGAUCCUCAGGAAAUGUCCCUGGGAUUUCCUGAUGAUGCCUACAUGACAUUAAAUUUGUACACAAACUGGGAUGGUUUGAGGAAGAGGAUGAGCAAGUUCCUUCAGCCUCAUCAUGGCAGCACAAGCCUGUUGACAAGCUACGUGUGUUUCACCUGCUAUUAACUUGCUGCUCGAUGACAAGCGACUAUUUCUUCCAGAGCAAACGAACACUGUCCAGGUUGAAAUUAGCCUGGUUGUGGCCCAUGUCCAAAGCAAUGUUUGUGUUUGUAUGUCUCUGAGUUCAGGGCAGCUGUUGCAAUGUGGCACUAUGGAUUGGGUCUGCAAAGGGAGGCUGCAUGAGGGAAGAGCAGGCACGAAAUACCUGUUUUUGCUUUAUAAAAACUUCCCUGUGGUCUCUACUUUGUCUGCAAGACCCACCUAGCACCUCCCAGUGAGGUCUACUGGGAAUCCCCUCAUGGCAGGGGGAGAGAGUUGGUUUGAGUGGGGGGGAAAAGUCCCUGAUCAUCACAGGGGAGUUGGACUAAAUGACCCUUAAGGACUCCUUCCAGCUCAAAUGGUUCUACGGUUCUUUGAAAUGAGAGGUGCCCAUGGCUCUGUGCCCUUAGGGUGCAGCAGAAAAGAGAAGUGAAGCCAGGUGAUGCAUCCCAGCACUUUUGCUACUGGAGGAGGAUAUGCAGACGUUGCUGCUGUGCAGAGUGGUCUGGAGGUGUGCUCAAGCUCCCAAACACCCUGAGCCUUGCUCUACACCUACUCUGACUCUGUGUGCUUUCAUGCAGGUUCCACAGCUCUGUGUGUUUCUCGCCGUGUUUCCAUUCUGUCGAACACUCAGAGCCUGCCCUGCACGCAUUUCGGAAGCGAAGGACUUUCCUAAUUACAGUGCGAACAAUCCGAGGUGGGCUCCUGUCUGUCUAACUGUCAGGGAGAAUAAGUCAGCGGUGAGUCAGAAGCAGAGAUGUGGAAAUGAUGCGGGAGAAAGGGAAUAGUCUGUGCUGGGCUUAAUCACAGGGGCCAGGUGCUUUACAUUUCUUCCAACAAAACUCUGUUUGCUGCGGGCGCCUGAGGCUAGCUGAGGCGGGCAGCAUAGCCGGGGCUCAUCAGGCUCACUUGCCUCCUGGGCGCUGUCUUUCACUUGGUUGGGCAUUGGCAUCUCUGCACCCAUCGCAUCGCACCCACUCCUUGUUCUGCGUGCGCUCCCGGAGCGGCCGAGGUGCACCAUGCAGCCUUCCCUUGGAAGCUGUUUGCUUUGUCAUCAUUACUACUAUUUUACUAUUCUUUAUUACUAUCAGCAGUAAUGCAAGCCCUUUGCCUAUAGAAAGGAUUUUUUUGUUGUUGUUGCUUCUUCUGGAGGGAUCCAGGAAUU